GAGUGGCCUCAACUGGCUGGUCUGACAUUGCAGCCAGCAGUAGCCUGUCAACCCCCUAUUUAAAGCUCACAAUGUCUGUUCUUGUUCCACAGACAGACCUGCUAUUAGGAGCUUUCCAGACUCAAACUCCGCUGCUCUGAAAAGCCAUAAUUAAAUCAGCAGACCAUGAUGUCUGCUUUCUGUUCUUUUCACACCUGUCUACCAACAGCAGGAUUACUGGGUAAAAGAAGAUCUCGGCUGUGCCCAGACUGGUCCUAGAUCUCUAAAAGGGAACUUGUACCUGAGAUCGUGGAAAGAGUACCAUUGACCCAUAAACUGUAGCUGCCACCGGAACAUUUCGUGUUUCUUGUGCCAAGAGGCCAGAAAUCUAGAAGUGGACUCACCAUCCUGGCAGAGCUGCACGUAGGAAAAGACACCACCUGAAUUCUGGAGGAGCUGCUUCCAGAACUUCUAAGAAGGGUGGAUCUGAGUGGCCCAAAAUAUGGACCAUUGAAGAUGCUGCGAUGAGCAGCCAGAUGCUCCUCCAGGACUGAAGAACUCAUUCCCUCAGCUUCUGGAAGUGCUGCCAGCUGAAAACCCCCUUCAGAAUUGCCUGGCAGAAGAGAGUCACCUCGCCCAAACCCACACCCUCUUCCCAGGGCUACCUGUAGCCAGUGGCUGAUCGGCACGGGGGUAUUAAAUACCUGUAUGCUUACCACAACUCAAAACAACUCUAAAGGUCCAGCCCAGCUCCCGGGCUCCCCACAGACUUGACUGAGGUCUUUGUUGCCAUUGUACCACACUCCAACUUUUCCCUCGUUCCGAUCCUGCUUCCUCCUUCCCUGCCUCCCACAGAUGUUGAUCCCAACAGCACUCCUUAAAACACCUGGUGCACUGCACACGGAGCUCACUUCUGUCUGGCAUAGUGGCAUGGGGCAAGCCCCCGAGAUAUGUUCAGUCAAAAGAAUACACCCUUUGAAGUUUGUUCACUGUGCAAGCAUCACUCACUUAAAAAUUAAACAACAUUAUUAGGGCACCCCCCACACCCCCUCCACACACACACAGACUUCACGGAGAAGCCCUGGAGUCACCUCCAGGAAGCCCUCCAGAGUUCUGAAAGUCAUUAAGUUGGAUCAUCCCUGAGGCAGAAGGGAGUCCUAGGAGGGUGCUGGUUUCGUGUUAGAAUGCCCGAGCUUGCGCCGAGCUUCUGCCCCUUCACCUGGAUGAGCUUGGGUGAGUCAGCCCACUCCUCUUCAUCGGUCUCCCUCAUCGGUAAGACAGCCGCUAUCUGAACUGCCCCACCUCCUCCCUGAGUUGUGGAGAUCAAAUGAGAUCUUCAAAUAUUAUAUUUGGAAGGACAUUUUACACUGCAAAGGGCUAUGCAAAUAUAAGAGUACAUCAUUUAGUGUGGCCAAUGAAUUGUGUUCACUAACUGUGUUCGCGGCUAAUUCUCAACACUCAUCCCCCUGGUAUUGGAUAAACAAUACAUCAGUAGGAGCCACCCUAAAAACAUCCACUGUCUUCUUCGUCGGGUUCAUUUUGAGACUCAAAUAAGAUGAGGAAUGUGAGAAUGCUUUGAAAACCAUACCUGUUUCCAUAGGCAUGAUACACUGAGUGUGUGUGUGGGGCUGGAACGAAAGGAGAAGAGCCAGGGUCCAGCCUUUAUCCCCCACUCAGUAACUUCGUGGCCAUGACAAACUGCUUAACUUUUCCUCUGUGAAAUGGGAAUGGGAACCCAUGCUUUGCUUUCCUUACAGAGUUGGUGGUGUUUGGUUUGGUUUGGUUUGUGAGGGUAAACCAGAACAUGUAUUUGCUAGCAUUUGGGGGUAGAUAAAUAGAGGCCAAGAGGCUAAUAAAGUUUUUACCUUUUGUAAGUGGGGAAGUUAGAUUGAACCCAGGGCCUUGACUCCCAAGCUCAGACUCUUCCCAUGCUGUGUCAAGUAGCAUCUAGGAAUAAAAAUAUCAGGAAUGCUGGUUACAAACAGUGAUCACCAUUGUCUUUAAAAUAGCUCAGGCCACUUGGCACUUCCGUGUUCACUGGAGAUGGUCCUUUGGGUUGAGGAGGACACAGUGUGGUGAUGACAGUGAGGUCUCUAUUUCAGAACCAUCACCGCCACUCCCUCCACCGUGUACCCUCAGGCAUUGCACAACCUGCCCAGCUCCGCGUUUGCAGCCCCCACAGUUAUCACCUUAAGGUUUGAGGUAUUUCUCUGCAGGAGGGCGGUUAUGUAGUCAACAUUUUACUAAGUCCCAGGUUGGCACCUCAUAGCACAAUGAAAUCAGUGAGCCAGAUUGUAGACUUUGGCCAAGAAAGAGAGAUGCCAACCAGACAGACAGAUGGACAUGGACAGCACCAUGCAUCUCCUUUCUUAGGAGAGAUGAGGGAAGGGACUGUGGCAAGAAGCAAAGGGAAGAAAGAGGAUCAGAGGAGAUGAGCAUGUGGUCAGGAUUUCAGUCAGGCAAGUUCUCUGCUCAUAGAGGAGGCAGUGUUGCCAUUGCCUUUAGAGAGGGACACUAAGAGAAGGGAGUUUUGAAUGUCCCCAUGUCCCAAAGAGCCUUCUCCAUUGCUGGUGCACGCGUUCCCCUCACAACCAGGAGGUCUGGUCACCCACGUGGCAGUCAUGACUCCCAUGACCCUGUGGGAAGAAGAGCUGAGGCUUCUUGGGUGAGACUGAGGUUCUGGGCUUACUUCUCAAUUUCCCAGCACACUAGCCUGGUUUCCUCCCUUGCCCCUUCUCUCUCCAUUUAUCACACACCUUUUUAUUCUGGAUGUGGACCAAAGGCAAAGCUGGUUUUUUCUCACCUUGCCUUGGUGGAGACAUGACCCAAGUCCUGAGAUAUACAGAUUUCCAGCUGAUGGAAUAACUCAACUCAUGAAAGUCAUGCAGUAGCUGGUACGCGAACCAGCCAGGAUGCCACAUUGUGUGUGUUUCUAGGUUAGAUGAGUUUUUGGAUCAGUGAGGUCAAUGGGUUAUCUGAUAAGAGCACAGUUUCAAGUCAACUGACCUGGAUUCGAGUUCUGACUCAGCUACUCACCCAGCCAAUUCGUGACUUGAGUGAGUUAGCUAACCUUUCUGAGCCUAUUUCCUUAUCUGGAAAAUAGGAUUAAGGCCCACAUCAUAUUAUCACUGUGAAAUAAAGCGUGAGUUAGAAACAAAAAUGUUUGUGAAUUAUGAAAGACUACAGUGAGAUGACAUAGUGUAAAGGUGAAGAACAUGGUAUUUGGAAUUAAAGAGCCCUGCUUUCAGGGCCUAGUUCUACCGUUCACUAGUGCUGGGACCUUGGAUAGGUACUGAAACAUUUAUAUAUAUAUACUUUAUGUUUUAGAGCAGUCUUACAUUCACAGCAAAGUUGAGGAGAUAUUACAGAGAUUUCCAUAUAUCCCGUCUCCUGUCUCCACACCCUCCUCCACCACCAACAUCCUGUACAACAGUGGUACAUUUGUUAUGACCGAUGAACCUACAUUAUCACCCAGAGUCUAUAGUUUACAUUAGGGUUCACUCUGUG